rnacentral:misc_RNA from 1 species
GAUUGCUUCGCUUCGCUCGCAAUGACGAUAACUAAAUCUAGCGCAGCCGUCCCGUCAGCCGCAUGACGAAAAUCAGGACUUCCGCGACGCCCUUGUAAAGCUCGGCGGGAAUCUCGUCGCCAAGCUCGACAUGGGAGAGCGCCCCAGCCAGCACUUCAUUCUCCUGAAUGGGAAUGUCGUUCUCUUUGGCGAUCUCGAUGAUCUUCUCGCCGAGCGUGCCCUUUCCCUUGG